UACGAAGGGGGGCUAGCGUUGCUCGGAAUCACUGGGCGUAAAGCGCACGUAGGCGGAUUGCUAAGUCAGGGGUGAAAUCCUGGAGCUCAACUCCAGAACUGCCUUUGAUACUGGCGACCUUGAGUCCGGGAGAGGUGAGUGGAACUGCGAGUGUAGAGGUGAAAUUCGUAGAUAUUCGCAAGAACACCAGUGGCGAAGGCGGCUCACUGGCCCGGUACUGACGCUGAGGUGCGAAAGCGUGGGGAGCAAACAGG
rnacentral:rRNA from 1 species